rnacentral:rRNA from 1 species
CAGGCCUAACACAUGCAAGUCGGACGGUAGCACACAUAGCUUGCUCUUGGGUGACCAGUGGCGGACGGGUGAGUUAUGUCUGGGGAUCUGCCCGAUAGAGGGGGAUAACCACUGGAAACGAGUGGCUAAUACCGCAUAACGUCGCAAGACCUAAGAGGGGGACCUUCGGGCCUCUCACUAUCGGAUGAACCCACAUGGGAUUAGCUAGUAGGCGGGGUAAUGGCCCACCUAGGCGACGAUCCCUAGCUGGUCUGAGAUGAUGACCAGCCACACUGGAACUGAGACACGGUCCCUACUCCUACGGGAGGCAACAGUGGGGAAUAUUGCACAAUGGGCGCAAGCCUGAUGCAGCCAUGCCGCGUGUAUGAAGAAAGCCUUCGGGUUGUGAAGUACUUUCAGCGGGAACGAACGCGAUGCGGCUUAUAACCGCGUCCAUUGACGUUACCCGCAGAAUAACUCCGGCUCACUCCGUGCCAGCAGCCGCGGUAAU